CAAACACAUUCGUUAGUUACAGAAAGCUGCCUGCCACCUGGGAGGGAGGUCAGCAGACAAUGUGCUCUAGAGCCUCAAAUUUCCUGGCAUCCUUUCCCCCAGUUUCUAUGCUGAGUUCUGCCUUGGGCAGAGUCUGAGCUGGACUGGAGAAGGAUGGAGCAAGACUGCUGGAGCCACUUCUCUGAACUAUUUCCAUGAUCUGAUGGGCGUGUAAGUAGGGACUGAAGGUAUGUUGUGGUUGGAAGAAAAAGCAAACUGGAAUUGGAUAAACUUAACUGAUCAACCAGUUCCUGGAAUCUUAUUAAAUAAGAGCUUGAACUUCUGGUGCAAGAAACAAAGAACUGUUAUUACUGGUGAUACGGAAUGGCUUCAAAAUAGUGGUAUGUUUUGACAUGUAAAAUGCUGUUGAUAAAUUGCAAAACAUGAAGGGAAAUCUUACAUAUAAAAUCUCUCCACCAUAAAGUGAGCAACUAGCCUCAUACACAAAGUGCCAGGGAAGCUGUGCCUUACUUUCUUUCUCUACCACUGGUUGACAGCCACAC
rnacentral:lncRNA from 1 species